AUUUCAACUGUUGGAAUAUGUAGAUUCUCAAAGAAGGUGUUGAAUAAGGUAGCAUUACCAGCAUGUAUAUCCAAGUUACUAGAUCCGUCCAAUAAGGUAGCAUUACCAGCAUGUAUAUCCAAGUUACUAGAUCCGUCCAAUAAGGUAGCAUUACCAGCAUGUAUAUCCAAGUUACUAGAUCCGUCCAAUAAGGUAGCAUUACCAGCAUGUAUAUCCAAGUUACUAGAUCCGUCCAAUAAGGUAGCAUUACCAGCAUGUAUAUCCAAGUUACUUGAUCCGUCCAAUAAGGUAGCAUUACCAGCAUGUAUAUCCAAGUUACUAGAUCCGUCCAAUAAGGUAGCAUUACCAGCAUGUAUAUCCAAGUUACUAGAUCCGUCCAAUAAGGUAGCAUUACCAGCAUGUAUAUCCAAGUUACUAGAUCCGUCCAAUAAGGUAGCAUUACCAGCAUGUAUAUCCAAGUUACUAGAUCCGUCCAAUAAGGUAGCAUUACCAGCAUGUAUAUCCAAGUUACUUGAUCCGUCCAAUAAGGUAGCAUUACCAGCAUGUAUAUCCAAGUUACUAGAUCCGUCCAAUAAGGUAGCAUUACCAGCAUGUAUAUCCAAGUUACUAGAUCCGUCCAAUAAGGUAGCAUUACCAGCAUGUAUAUCCAAGUUACUAGAUCCGUCCAAUAAGGUAGCAUUACCAGCAUGUAUAUCCAAGUUACUAGAUCCGUCCAAUAAGGUAGCAUUACCAGCAUGUAUAUCCAAGUUACUAGAUCCGUCCAAUAAGGUAGCAUUACCAGCAUGUAUAUCCAAGUUACUAGAUCCGUCCAAUAAGGUAGCAUUACCAGCAUGUAUAUCCAAGUUACUAGAUCCGUCCAAUAAGGUAGCAUUACCAGCAUGUAUAUCCAAGUUACUAGAUCCGGCCAAUAAGGUAGCAUUACCAGCAUGUAUAUCCAAGUUACUAGAUCCGUCCAAUAAGGUAGCAUUACCAGCAUGUAUAUCCAAGUUACUAGAUCCGUCCAAUAAGGUAGCAUUACCAGCAUGUAUAUCCAAGUUACUAGAUCCGUCCAAUAAGGUAGCAUUACCAGCAUGUAUAUCCAAGUUACUAGAUCCGUCCAAUAAGGUAGCAUUACCAGCAUGUAUAUCCAAGUUACUAGAUCCGUCCAAUAAGGUAGCAUUACCAGCAUGUAUAUCCAAGUUACUAGAUCCGUCCAAUAAGGUAGCAUUACCAGCAUGUAUAUCCAAGUUACUAGAUCCGUCCAAUAAGGUAGCAUUACCAGCAUGUAUAUCCAAGUUACUAGAUCCGUCCAAUAAGGUAGCAUUACCAGCAUGUAUAUCCAAACUUGUGAGUAAAAGUUAUGAAAGCAUAAAUUGA
rnacentral:lncRNA from 1 species